AAUCCUUGAUGGUAGACCCAGAGAAGGCAUCAGCCUUCAUCCCAUGAAACCCACCAAACCGAAAGAAAAAGAGGGGAUGUGACUUCUUGAAGAUCGUGCAUAUGGAAACCUCUGACUUAUAAAGGAAACAUAUAUUUUAUAAGGAGCAUUGAUCUGAGGUAAUAUAGUAGCAGCGUGACGUUUGUCCAUAGAAACCCAAUGCAAGAUCUCACCCGCCUUAACUACUUUCUAUAAAAUGCAGAAUCAACAGUCCUUCUUUGAAGCAGACCUGGAAAGUCAGAGAACAGAGUCACUGAGCUACCUUGUAUCCAUCUCUGGGGACUCUUCCCCACCCACCCACUUCAACAUCUAAAGACUUAAGGUACUCCAUGCUCUUUUGCCACCACAUUCUUUCAUCCCCACCCAGAAGAGUCUUUGCCUACAUUCCUUCACUUUUCUUUGUCAGCCUCUCAGAUCUGGAGUCCAUGGUGGACAGACUGGCUGCUACGGACAUGAUGUAUUUUUUGUGAAUGACUUCAAAGUAUUUAAACCAGUGGGAGUCAAAGAUUCUGAAUUCCAGGAGAAACUCAAGCCUUCAUCCGUCACAAGCCUGCAGUCUUUCAAGGAGAAAGAGCUCAAAUAUGGACCAAAGACAAA